UGCAGUCGAGCGAAUGGAUUAAGAGCUUGCUCUUAUGAAGUUAGCGGCGGACGGGUGAGUAACACGUGGGUAACCUGCCCAUAAGACUGGGAUAACUCCGGGAAACCGGGGCUAAUACCGGAUAACAUUUUGAACCGCAUGGUUCGAAAUUGAAAGGCGGCUUCGGCUGUCACUUAUGGAUGGACCCGCGUCGCAUUAGCUAGUUGGUGAGGUAACGGCUCACCAAGGCAACGAUGCGUAGCCGACCUGAGAGGGUGAUCGGCCACACUGGGACUGAGACACGGCCCAGACUCCUACGGGAGGCAGCAGUAGGGAAUCUUCCGCAAUGGACGAAAGUCUGACGGAGCAACGCCGCGUGAGUGAUGAAGGCUUUCGGGUCGUAAAACUCUGUUGUUAGGGAAGAACAAGUGCUAGUUGAAUAAGCUGGCACCUUGACGGUACCUAACCAGAAAGCCACGGCUAACUACGUGCCAGCAGCCGCGGUAAUACGUAGGUGGCAAGCGUUAUCCGGAAUUAUUGGGCGUAAAGCGCGCGCAGGUGGUUUCUUAAGUCUGAUGUGAAAGCCCACGGCUCAACCGUGGAGGGUCAUUGGAAACUGGGAGACUUGAGUGCAGAAGAGGAAAGUGGAAUUCCAUGUGUAGCGGUGAAAUGCGUAGAGAUAUGGAGGAACACCAGUGGCGAAGGCGACUUUCUGGUCUGUAACUGACACUGAGGCGCGAAAGCGUGGGGAGC
rnacentral:rRNA from 1 species